CACACACAAUUGAACACCAUGGAAAUCAAAGUAUGUCUGGUGUAGUUUUUCAGGAUCAUUUUUUUCUGAUAUGACUAAAUAAAAUUGUUUUUAUAAUUCAGAUUUGAAUAUUUUAUGUAAACAAAUCUCGCGAAAGGUAAGACAAUUUUUUAGGUGACAAGUUGGAGACAGGAUAUUAUAUAAUAUGGUGGUAAUAUUGUUUACAUACUGUCACGUAAGGGUAUGGGUAGUGGCGCAGUAAGCUA